rnacentral:rRNA from 1 species
UACGAAGGGGGCUAGCGUUGUUCGGAAUCACUGGGCGUAAAGCGCACGUAGGCGGAUUGUUAAGUCGGGGGUGAAAUCCUGAGGCUCAACCUCAGAACUGCCUCCGAUACUGGCAAUCUCGAGUUCGGAAGAGGUUGGUGGAACAGCUAGUGUAGAGGUGAAGUUCGUAGAUAUUAGCUAGAACACCAGUGGCGAAGGCGGCCAACUGGUCCGACACUGACGCUGAGGUGCGAAAGCGUGGGGAGCAAACAGG